rnacentral:rRNA from 1 species
AGCAGUGGGGAAUAUUGCACAAUGGGCGGAAGCCUGAUGCAGCGACGCCGCGUGGGGGAUGACGGCCUUCGGGUUGUAAACUCCUUUCACCAUCGACGAAGCGAGAGUGACGGUACCUGCAGAAGAAGCACCGGCCAACUACGUGCCAGCAGCCGCGGUAAUACGUAGGGUGCGAGCGUUGUCCGGAAUUAUUGGGCGUAAAGAGCUCGUAGGCGGUUUGUCGCGUCGUCUGUGAAAUCCCGCGGCUCAACUGCGGGCUUGCAGUCGAUACGGGCAGACUAGAGUUAGGUAGGGGAGACUGGAAUUCCUGGUGUAGCGGUGAAAUGCGCAGAUAUCAGGAGGAACACCGGUGGCGAAGGCGGGUCUCUGGGCAGUAACUGACGCUGAGGAGCGAAAGCAUGGGGAGCGAACAGGAUUAGAUACCCCGGUAG